UACGGAGGGUGCGAGCGUUGUCCGGAUUCAUUGGGCGUAAAGAGCUCGUAGGCGGCUUGUCACGUCGGUUGUGAAAGCCCGGGGCUUAACCCCGGGUCUGCAGUCGAUACGGGCAGGCUAGAGUUCGGUAGGGGAGAUCGGAAUUCCUGGUGUAGCGGUGAAAUGCGCAGAUAUCAGGAGGAACACCGGUGGCGAAGGCGGAUCUCUGGGCCGAUACUGACGCUGAGGAGCGAAAGCGUGGGGAGCGAACAGG
rnacentral:rRNA from 1 species